rnacentral:rRNA from 1 species
AGAGUUUGAUCAUGGCUCAGAUUGAACGCUGGCGGCAUGCCUUACACAUGCAAGUCGAACGGCAGCACGGGGGCAACCCUGGUGGCGAGUGGCGAACGGGUGAGUAAUACAUCGGAACGUGUCCUGUUGUGGGGGGAUAACCCACCGAAAGGUGAGCUAAUACCGCAUGACCUGGAAACAGUAAAGCGGGGGACCGCAAGGCCUCGCGCGAUUGGAGCGGCCGAUGUCCGAUUAGCUAGUUGGUGGGGUAAAGGCCCACCAAGGCGACGAUCGGUAGCUGGUCUGAGAGGAUGAUCAGCCACACUGGGACUGAGACACGGCCCAGACUCCUACGGGAGGCAGCAGUGGGGAAUUUUGGACAAUGGGGGCAACCCUGAUCCAGCCAUGCCGCGUGAGUGAAGAAGGCCUUCGGGUUGUAAAGCUCUUUCGGUGGGAACGAAACGGUUCGUGCUAACACCACGGACUAAUGACGGUACUCACAGAAAGAAAGCACCGGCUAACUACGUGCCAGCAGCCGCGGUAAUACGUAGGGUGCGAGCGUUAAUCGGAAUUACUGGGCGUAAAGCGUGCGCAGGCGGUUACUUAAGUCAGGUGUGAAAUCCCUGGGCUUAACCUAGGAAUUGCGCUUGAGACUGGGUAGCUUGGAGUGCGGCAGAGGGAGGUGGAAUUCCACGUGUAGCAGUGAAAUGCGUAGAGAUGUGGUGGAACACCGAUGGCGAAGGCAGCCUCCUGGGCCAGCACUGACGCUCAUGCACGAAAGCGUGGGGAGCAAACAGGAUUAGAUACCCUAGUAGUCC